UCCGUAGGCGGUGCGGCAAGUCGGAAGUGAAAUCUCCGGGCUUAACUCGGAGGCUGCUUCCGAAACUGCCGUGCUCGAGUGCGAGAGAGGCAAGUGGAAUUGCGGGUGUAGCGGUGAAAUGCGUAGAUAUCCGCAGGAACAUCCGAGGCGAAAGCGGCUUGCUGGAUCGCAACUGACGCUGAGGGACGAAAGCUAAGGGGAGCAAACAGGAUUAGAUACCCUGGUAGUCCUAGCCCUAAACCAUCAGGACGUUGGGGUUUGCCCUGUACGGGGCAAGUCCCGGAGCUAACGCGUUAAGUCCUGCGCCUGGGGAGUACGGUCGCAAGGCUAGAA
rnacentral:rRNA from 1 species